CACAUGCAAGUCGAGCGGAUGACGGGAGCUUGCUCCUUGAUUCAGCGGCGGACGGGUGAGUAAUGCCUAGGAAUCUGCCUGGUAGUGGGGGACAACGUUUCGAAAGGAACGCUAAUACCGCAUACGUCCUACGGGAGAAAGCAGGGGACCUUCGGGCCUUGCGCUAUCAGAUGAGCCUAGGUCGGAUUAGCUAGUUGGUGGGGUAAUGGCUCACCAAGGCGACGAUCCGUAACUGGUCUGAGAGGAUGAUCAGUCACACUGGAACUGAGACACGGUCCAGACUCCUACGGGAGGCAGCAGUGGGGAAUAUUGGACAAUGGGCGAAAGCCUGAUCCAGCCAUGCCGCGUGUGUGAAGAAGGUCUUCGGAUUGUAAAGCACUUUAAGUUGGGAGGAAGGGCANGUAGCUAAUACCUUGCUGUUUUGACGUUACCGACAGAAUAAGCACCGGGCUACUCUGUG
rnacentral:rRNA from 1 species